UUAGGUAGAGAAAAAGGCUGCACCUACCCUUGGAAGACAGGGGCCAAGAACUCAGACACAAAUGGACCUGGUAAAUGCCCUACAUUCUCUCUUCCAUGGAAACAUGGAAUUUGGGAAUGGGGGAAUCAAACCAGCUGUGGCAAGCAAUCCAGGGAGUCUGAGCAGACUGUGUUACUUAAAAUGAGAUCCCUGGGGGACCGGAAUAACCACACAUGGAAUGCUUAAUAAAAAUGGGGGUUCCUGGGCGCCAUCUGACCAUCAGAUCAAAUCUCACUGGUCUUCCCCUAAGAAUUUUACAUGCUCACCCCAGGGGACUUUAUGCCCACCAAAGUCAGAGAGAAGUUAUUGAGUUUUUUAUUAUGUUGUUUAAUCCAUGCCAGCCAAUAUUUUACUAAUUUAAGAAGCUCACAAGAGAUCUCCUGACACCUUCUGACUUGUUAAGAGAACGGAGCUUCCCCUCCUUGGGACUGAGGGCUCUGAGAGUUAAUAGCCUGAAUGUGGCUACAUUUUCCCUUUGUUCUGAGAAGAGCGCACCCCUGUUCCCACCUGGCCUCUGAGGAGUGAACAGGGAGGAGGCGGCCACAGAAGAACCCACCACGGCUCAAAACGUGCAGGCAUUCUCCAUGAGGAACAACUUUCCCCAGCGUGUAAGGAACACUGCCUUACAGGAAACCGUUCCUUCAAACAGGAAGAGAAGAGUGUUGAGUGGACCAAGGGGAGACCACCAUUUCUCCAGGCCACUUGCAUCCCAAGGCACAAAGGCAGCAGGUUUCCUAGGAGCUGUUUCCAGGGCCAGAACAAUUCCAGACUCCCCAAGAACUUAUUUCCACCUUGGGGGACCACAGUCAGCAGGGACAGGAGGAAAGCCUUCAAAGUCCUACCUUUUAGAAGAUUUUCAUUUUGGAGGAACAGGAUGGCAGACUGACCAGAUGUUCUUUAGGGUCAGCCCCUAAGGCCACCAGCCACCCAAGCCCGCCUCACCCCCUGCACAAACGUUGGCCUCGGUUGCUCUAAGAGCAGAACCUGGGCUGCUUGGGAUAAUUCCAAGCGCUGGGCUGUGAUAUCAGAAUAGGGCUAUGACAUCAAUGUGGGGGUAGGCCAGCCUGGGGAAGCAGGGCAGGGCAGAAAGGGAGUCCCUGAGGGGCUGGAUUAGCCCCCUUGAAAGUGAGGCCCAACAGAGAGAGGCAGCUGGUUCUGUAUACACUUCUCACAGCCUCCCAGCAGUCCCCUGGGAGGCGGACCUAAAGAUCUUCUGAAAAGGAUUCCCAAGUACAGAGAGAGGAAAGAAAUGAGGAAAAAGACAGCAAGCAACUUGCCCAAGGUCACACAGCUGAACUGACUGGAAGCAGGAAGAUAGUGAGGAGACUAUAGCAGAUGUCCAGAAGGCUAUCCAACCCCUUGGGAACAUGAGACACGUGCUGCAUCUCUAGCCCCUGACCAUGCCUAAGGGGACGAAAUGAAGGAAGACGAGCCUGAAGCUGCUCUCUCAGGGGAGCCAACCUCUCCUAGAAGUCCAGGCUAGCAAUCUCUAGCACUGCCCAGCUGAGUUAACAAGCAUUUCUACACCAGCUGCAAAAGAAACCCCUCCCACUGGCUGCCCCAGGGAAAUUGUUCCAGAAUGACCAAUCCAAUAAAAGUUACCUGAUACAUUAUUUUCAGGAAGUUCCUAGAAAAUGCAGCAAAUUUUUAUUUAUUUAUUUUAUUUAUUUUACUUAGGAGAAGCUAGAAAGAGGAAGCUAGUUCUUCCAUGAGCAGCAAUGUUCCCACACUUGGCCAACAGGGUUGUUCUGAGCCC